rnacentral:tRNA from 1 species
GGGAUCGAAGCUCAGCUGGUUGAGCGGCCGGUUGUUAACCGGAUGGGCGUUGGUUCGAACCCAACCGAUCCCG